rnacentral:misc_RNA from 1 species
UUAAGUUCAGCGGGUAUCCCUACCUGAUCCGAGGUCAACCUUAGAAAAUUGGGGGUUACUGGCAAGACACCCUGAGACAUCUAUCGCGAGGAGUAUUACUACGCGUAGAACCUCAAGGCACCGCCACUAAUUUUAAGGCCCGCCCAGAGGCGAAGCCCAAGACCCUACUAAGAGUAGGAGUUGGUAUAAAUGACGCUCGA